AUAAGGCCCAAAAUACUUAGGAGAUACUUUCUAUACCAAUCUAGAAAUUGCAGAUUUUUGUUUGUAAGGUUGUAGCUUAAUGUACACCCAAUCACCAAUUGCAAAUUACCUUUAGACCUAUGUCUAUCUACUUGUUGCUUUAUCCUAUUCUAAGACUUCAAUAAUUGUUGCUUUAACACCUUAAUCAUAUCUUCUCUAUC
rnacentral:lncRNA from 1 species